rnacentral:rRNA from 1 species
UACAGAGGGGGCAAGCGUUGGUUCGGAAUUACUGGGCGUAAAGGGCGCGUAGGCGGCCUGUUAAGUCGGACGUGAAAUCCCUCGGCUCAACCGGGGAACUGCGUCCGAUACUGGCGGGCUUGAAUUCGGGAGAGGGAUGUGGAAUUCCAGGUGUAGCGGUGAAUGCGUAGAUAUCUGGAGGAACACCGGUGGCGAAGGCGGCAUCCUGGACCGACAUUGACGCUGAGGCGCGAAAGCCAGGGGAGCAAGAGGG